rnacentral:misc_RNA from 1 species
CGUCCUUAGCUCGGAUUUCGGCCAACCGCGUGCGGUAACACACGGGAGACCAGCUUCCGUCCCUCCGUCCUUARAGGAUUUUGGGGGGACAACSAUUUGUGACACCCAGGCAGACGUGCCCUCAGCCAGAAGGUUUGGGGCGCAACUUGCGUUCAAAGACUCGAUGGUUCACGGGAUUCUGCAAUUCACACCAAGUAUCGCAUUUCGCUACGUUCUUCAUCGAUGCGAGAGCCGAGAUAUCCGUUGCCGAAAGUCGUUUUAUACUUUA